GUAGCAUUUUAAAAUGUAGCAUUUAGUAAAAAAAAUUACUGAAUAAAACAAACCACCACAUUUGUUUAUUCUUUAUUGUUUAACAUUUGCUAUUAAAAUGACAGAACUAGAUUUGUGAUGGCAACAGGGUGAUGAAUGAGUUCGGGACUACACUUCCCAUAAGUCGGUGGGGUAGCUUAAUUACAUCUGCACCUGCUAUAAAUAGAUUCACAGUAGUAUAGCUUCUCUCAUCUCAUUCAUCUAUCAAUGUUACAAACAAGAGUGUGCAUGAACAUGAACAUUUAUGAACAUUUAUGAAGAUGGUGUGUUUCAUAAAGGUUUGUUUUAUAGGUCUCUUGAAGGAGAACCAUCCGGUUGGUUUUUAAUUCCUCUUUCUUAGAUCCAGUUAUUUUAAAAGGUAUUUGAUUGGAAUAAAGAAUUUAAUGCUCAAUUCAAGGUACUUACAAUAAUCUUUUUUUUUAAAUUGGCCUCCUUUCUGACUUAUUGGUGGCUGCAGGGUAUCCUCCAUGGGUGUGACUGGCACUGGUGAGGUGGUGGGGAUUCUUCUGUGGUUUCUAGUGAUCCGUAUUUCCUUUCGAGUGCUGUGCUGCAUUGGGGUUUGAAUUUCAAUUGGUGGUUGUAUAUUUUCUCACUGAUAGUUGUGCCCUGUGGCGUGUCAAAGGUGUUAUUCUUUUUCCUUGAAUGAGGUUGGUCUUUGGAUGUGGUUUUGGAUAUUUAUUUUAUGUGAACGCUGGUAUCUGUGAAUUGUAAUAAAACUGCUUGUACAAGUGAUAAAGGUUUCACUACAGUUUGUGGCCAGUUAUUAGUUGAUGAAUCAGAAUGUCCAUAGAAACGUGGGCACUUUCUCCCUCUAAGAACAUACAGCACCCUGUUAAGAGACAUUGGAGGAAAAAUGACAAGAGAAGUCAAGAUAACUCAGGAGAGAAAAGACCAAACCAGCUGCCUUCUCGCAUGACUAUUGUUACUAGGACAUUUACCUAUUACUUACCAACAAUAAAUGGUGAAGCCCACAUUCAAACCAACAUAAAAUAAACUGUAAUUGGCACACACUACAAUGGCCAGGUAGAAAAUGGCGCAUACAGUAUAUAAAUAAAAUUGACCCUGCCGACUACGCCAAUUUGUAACCCACCAAAUCAGGGAGGGCUAGUAACUGGCCACAAACUGUAGUGAAAGUUUUUACUUGUACAAGCAUUUUUAUUACAAUUCAGAUACCAACUUUCACAUAAAAUAAAUAUCCAAAACAAAGACCAACCUCAUUCAAGGAAAAAGAAUAACACUUUUGACAUGCCACAGGGCACAACUAUCAGUGUGAAAAUAUACAACCACUGAUUGAAAUUCAAACCCCAAUGCAGCACAGCUCUCGAAAGGAAAUACGGAUCACCAGAAACCACAGAAGAAUCCCCACCACCUCACCAGUGCCAGUCACACCCAUGGAGGAUACCCUGCAGCUGCCAUUAAGUCAGGAAGGACAACUUAAAAAAAAAAAAUAAUAAUAAUAAUAAUACACACUGUAUACAAAAAGAGCACUGGACAAUAGUCGUGCUAGUCCUGCAACACAAAAGAUUAUUGUAAGUACCUUGAAUUGAGCAUUUACAUAAAUUCUUUAUUCCGAUCAAAUACCUUUUAAAACAACUGGAUCUAAGAAAGAGGAAUUUAAAAACCAACCGGAUGGUUCUCCUUUAAGAGACCUGUAAAACAAAUCUUUAUGAAAACCACCAUCUUCAUAAAUUUUCAUGAGAAAACUCAAUUCUUAGUACCUUUUGAACAUUAUUCACUCACACAUCAUUCAUUAAUUCUGAAGACUGUGUUGCCAGGCCAAUCACCAGUAAUACAAGCAGGAUUCUGAAAAAGCAAAAUAAAACCACUUUUUUUCUUACCCCUCAUAGUUUACUACCUUCCUCAUAAUAAAAACCCAUAAAUGAAAAUACUUUCUACCUACCUUUAAUUAAAUGAUGACCUAACACACAAAUUACUCUAAACAUGUACAGCAUAAAACAACUUGACAACGUCUUUGCUUAAACAGAAACAGCUCUCGUGAUUUAAAUAAAUUCAUCAAAAAAACAAAAAAAACAAAAUCACUAUUAAAACACAGUUGAGCACAAAUUACCUGAUCUUUGCACACUCUUGUUUGAAAUAACGAUGAAUGAGAUGAGAGAAAACUAUACUACUGUGAAUCUAUUUAUAGCAGGUGCAGAUGUAAUUAAUUUACCCCACGGACUUAUGGGAAGUGUAGUCUUGAACCCAUUCAUCUCCCUGUUACAUAUUGUUUUCCUCCCUUUUUAUAUCCUGAAGCUGAAAAGAAUCAUUAAAUAGAACUGUUAAGGAACUUGAAUUGUUACAUUCCUUCCAAUUCCUGGGGUCAUAGACUGCCAUAGUCUCAAUUUACUUUAAAUGUACGGAAAACAGCAGCUUGGACAUUCUGCUAAAUAUCUCCUUUUUUUUUUUCUUCACAGAACUCAAAACCAUUUUAAAACAACACCAGGGUGAGUGACAGCUGACAGAAUUUGUAUUUUUGAGUAAACUAGCUUGUUCGAAACCAAUUGUAUUUUCUGACACAGUGCUGAUAUGGUUGGUCUUAGUGACUUUCUCCCCUGGGCUUCCGUUUUCUGCUCUCCGUUUUUUGGGCUUGCAGUAAAUAGCUGAAGAGUUGAUUUUUACACUUUAUGAAUAAUAUCACCCACAUCUAGAAGAUGAAAGCCGAAGUGUUAGCAAGCCCGCACCCAGGCUGAGGAACGUGGGUAGAGAAGGUGAUAUAUUGUUUCAUUAGAAGCUUAGAAAAUGCAUGGCGGAAUUCUCCGGAAAGGCUAGAUACAUGCAACUCAUUCAAAUGCAUUAUCUAACAAUUUAGAUGAGACCCAACUCUUCCUGUCUCUUUCUCCUUAUUAUAUACAUUUAUACAUUAUAUGUGUUUAUCUUUUGCGUCUUCCCCUUCAACUUCUCCAGGCGAUACCUUAACUAUUAAGCCGAGAGUGAAUUGGAUUGGUUGACAACUGAGCUGAGCUGGAUUCUUAUUAAGAACAAAUGACAGCGGAGGUGUUGCCGGUGACAUUAGCUCUAGGCUACCAGGUGAAAUUAUAUACAGGACAGGGCAGCUACAUUAAUCAUUGCAUCAUCUCACACAGAGGAAACAUUUAUUAUUCUGUGGUUACCGUACUGGAAAGCAUUGCAACUGUACCUGCCAAUAAAAUGGCUGAUGUAUGGCAAAUUGAUCAUUUGUUUUCUUGUACGAGGGAGUCACACAUACAGCAAGGGAGGCAUCGGUCAAAGUCCGUGAGGGAGUUGGUGCUGUGCAUUGUGUUUCCUGAUUUCUCUGCCAAUGUCAAAGCUGUGCAGAGGCAUAACAAGCCAGGCGGUUGGGAAUAAACAAAGCCGAGUGGGCUGAGGGGAAACACUGGCCCACAAUGCGCUCCUGCUGCCAGUCUGUAUUUAUAGGCCCGCGCAUCAUCGGCUCCGCUGUUACACAACCAACUGUUCACGCUAGAUGUUUUUUUUCCUCUUUCUUUCCUUUGUCUUCUCAAGGACUCCAAUUAAAGUCAAGAGAAUGCACGUCUAUGGGACAGUCUCAAGCCUACUGGUUUUCAUCCAAAAUAUCUUAAAUUGUGUUCCGAAGACGAACAAACAGGUUUGGAACAACAUGGGGACAGCAGCAGCAGGCGCUCUUCACCGCUCCCUCACCGGCCUCGCUCAUCAAUUCAGCUGCAGUCUCCACUGACAGCCAAAUCUCCACUGCCAUCACGCAUCUGCGGCCUCUUCUGCAUCUGUGGAACUGCAGGAUCACUGAUCCUGCUCUGAUCCCGAAGCAACACAACAACAGUUUAGCGUAUCCCACGGUACCAAAUCCAGUUUCGAAAGCAAUUCUGCUCUUAAGCUUCAGGUGUUCUAGAGCCUUCGGGGUUCAAUUUUUGUUUUCAUCCACAAGUAAGCAAUAACCAGGCUUAGUCUCGAGAAACCUAUACCUACUUCCUGAACUGAUCCAGCCUCUGGUGAUGCUAUAUCCUCAUCCAAGAUGUCCACAGCUUCAGGUUUUCUGUGUUUAUGAGCUGCAAAAAAAGAGAUAAAAAAAGAUAAUAAUAAUAAUUUGAUUUAUAGAAUCACAUUCUCACCUGUUUUCUGUUGGCAUGUGUGAGGUUGGUCAACUAAACAACACUGCUGCUGCUAGUCAUCAUAAGAAAUACAUGACACGUUUAUAUUUAGCAAAUUUUUACAAUGGCUACUUUAAAAUUACAUUAUUUAAAAUUGCAUCAUUACAUAUAACAUAUAAUAUAAUUAUAGAAUAUAGUUAGUGCUGGGAAACGAUUAAUUGUGAUUAAUU
ensembl:lncRNA